AUUGAACGCUGGCGGCAUGCUUUACACAUGCAAGUCGAACGGCAGCGCGGGCUUCGGCCUGGCGGCGAGUGGCGAACGGGUGAGUAAUACAUCGGAACGUGCCCAGUAGUGGGGGAUAGCUCGGCGAAAGCCGGAUUAAUACCGCAUACGACCUGAGGGUGAAAGCGGGGGAUCUUCGGACCUCGCGCUAUUGGAGCGGCCGAUGGCAGAUUAGCUAGUUGGUGGGGUAAAGGCCUACCAAGGCGACGAUCUGUAGCUGGUCUGUGAGGACGACCAGCCAAACUGGGACUGGGAAACGGCCCAGACUCCUACGGGAGGCAGCAGUGGGGAAUUUUGGACAAUGGGCGAAAGCCUGAUCCAGCAAUGCCGCGUGUGUGAUGAAGGCCUUCGGGUUGUAAAGCACUUUUGGCGGGAACGAAAAAGACUGUGCCAAUACCACGGUUCGAUGACGGUACCCGCAGAAUAAGCACCGGCUAACUACGUG
rnacentral:rRNA from 1 species